GUUAUCCAUGCACCCAAUGGGACCAAAAAGAAUUCUGAAUUGUGUCAUUUUGUUGCAGCACCCAAGAUGUCCUAUCACUUCCGUCCUCUUUAUUUCUAUGCGCUAUUAGUGAGACCACCAAGCUGGAAAUUUAGCAAUCCUUCUUCCCUCAUUCUUCCAAGGCCGUGAGUUGUAGGAACACCAAAAGAAGAACAAAAAUAUUGUAUCUCCAUCCUCUCAUUCCCUCUUGACCGUAUUCAUCAUUGAGAGGAAUACAAGGAGAGACCUCAAAAUUAUACACUACCCUCACCUCCUUCCUUAGAAAUCGUGGACCCUUAGAGAACUACCAUCACUCAAGCAUUCAUCUCAUUCUUCUCCCUGUUCGGCUGAAGCUUUUCACACAAGGGGGUUCUGACUCAAGCUAAUCUCCAUCUCCUCUUGUGCGCACAGUCACCGUCAAGGAGGGCUGGACUUGUUGUCUCCAUGGAGCAUAGAAAGUUGAGGUGUUGCUCCUUGUCCUUUCGUGGUUCUUGGACUGCUUGCAAGAGGUGCGCGAAAUCCCUAAGACCGUGGACAAUUUCGCUGCUGUUUGGUAAUUAUUUGUGGCACGCGAGGAGGACGGAAAAGCAUAUGAUGACAUUAUUAUUUUGGAUAUUUGCUGUUGAUUGCUGCUGAUUGGAAUUCCUGUUGUUAUCUAUUUUAUUUGUUGGAAGUUAGCUGACUUGUUAUAUUGAUGUAAUAUUGUGGGAGCAUGGACUAUUGUUGGAAGCAUGUUUUAAAUCACUGUUUUAAGAUUUUUGUGGU